rnacentral:rRNA from 1 species
GACGUAGGGCGAGAGCGUUGUCCGGAUUUAUUGGGCGUAAAGAGCUCGUAGGCGGCUUGUCGCGUCGACCGUGAAACCUCACAGCUCAACUGUGAGCCUGCGGUCGAUACGGGCAGGCUAGAGUUCGGUAGGGGAGACUGGAAUUCCUGGUGUAGCGGUGAAAUGCGCAGAUAUCAGGAAGAACACCCGUGGCUAAGGCGGCUCUCUAGUACGGUAUUGACGCUGAGACGCGAAAGCGUGGGGAGCGAACAGG